UAACAGCCAUUAUUAUGAUUCCCUGGCAACCAUCAGUCUGUGCCCCUUCUAUAUACAUUAUAUUGAUAAUUGACAUGCACAGAGUGACCUGACGCAAUGUGAAAAGCAUUCUCUGUUUUUGAUGCAUAAAGUAGAUUGGAGGAGGCAAGGACAAAUAUAAGAAUAUCAGCCAAGGGAAGAAAUGAUAGUCAAAGGGUGAACAUUGCUGAGUGAGCAAGCUGGAAGCCAUGGACAGGGCAUGGGCUGUUUGUGGAUUUGCUAUUUUGGAGGAGAACAGCUUCUGGUGAAGACAAAAUCCUAGAACCUGUGACGUGAACUCUUACUUACAAAUGCGCCAGGAUGUGGAUUGGAUAAGGCAGAGCUCCUCUGAAGAGGCAGGCAUGAGGGUCAGAGUGGCCGAUAUCUACUUCCUGACCCUAAGGUGGUCGCUGAACCUGGCCAUGGAACCCCAGGCACCUCAGAAGGGACACAAGAGAACACUCAGGGAACCAGAUGGCUCUGAGACCCCCUGAGGCCUUCUUCCCAUUCCAACACCAUAUCUCUUCAAACCUCAGUGGCCCAGCUGCAAGGGCAUUCAAAGGACAAUAAGAUCUUCUGAUCAUUUUUUGUGUUGGAUAGGGCAGCAUGAUAAUGUGACCCAUUACUGUGGGUAAUGACAUAGAGAAAGAAAUUCACUGGGAGUGAGCUGUGUGAGGAUGCUGAAGACCUCUGAAUGGUGAGAGUGCAUUUCAAAGUUCACAAGUUGCUUUUUCACGCAUCACCUCCCUCACAACAAUCCCGUGUAUAAUCCCCACCUUCCGGAUGAGGAAACGGAUGCAGGAAUAUUGAGCAGCCUGUCCCAGGUUACAGAGCUGGAAGGAGUUGCCAGUGGAGGCCAGGUGUCUUGAUUCCAAGCCUACUGUUUUUCCUACUGUCUGUAUCACAGCUGCCUGCCUUGACUAAUCUGACGCAGACAAAGUCUGGAAGGAAUAGAGUUGACAUCCGAAUAGCUGUAAAUCCGCAGCGGGGCAGGCAGUCUAUGUUAGCAUCUAAAAGGCUGCAGAGGUAGCGGAGGGAAAGCUGAAUGCGGUGUUCAUGGCCACAGUUUCCUUUCAUUCUAUAAAGAGUGUGCUUGUCAAGCACCAUCUGGAAGAUGAUAUGCAGCCCCUUCUCCGUGACGAAUGAAGACACGCAGAGGCAGAUUCCAGAACAGCAUCUACAUCUUUGUUCAUUGAUGUCAGACACAAAAUUGAGUUGUUUAAAAACUUGCUCUCAAAUACAGAACAAAAGUCAUGGUGCAGGAAGGUCAUAUGGAACUUGGACGAGCCAAGAAGGCGAGGUUUUAAUCUGAAAUUGUAAACAAACAUGCUCUGGUAGAGAUUUUAAAAACCUUUUUAUGGAAAGACAAAACAGACACAGAAAUCCACCCAAAUCAAGUGUGGAGCUGGAUAAGU
rnacentral:lncRNA from 1 species